UACGAAGGGGGCUAGCGUUGUUCGGAAUUACUGGGCGUAAAGCGCGCGCAGGCGGCUAUCCAAGUCAGUGGUGAAAGCCCGGAGCUCAACUCCGGAACUGCCAUUGAAACUGUUUAGCUUGAGGAUGAGAGAGGUGAGUGGAAUUCCCAGUGUAGAGGUGAAAUUCGUAGAUAUUGGGAAGAACACCAGUGGCGAAGGCGGCUCACUGGCCCGGUACUGACGCUGAGGCACGAAAGCGUGGGGAGCAAACAGG
rnacentral:rRNA from 1 species